AGCGCUUUUCAAAAGCGCUCUGGUAGGGGUGUUUAAUGAGAGCGCUUUUUGUCAAAAGCGCUGGUAUAGACCAGGCUAUGAGAGCGCUUUUCAGAAGCGCUUUAGUAGCCUUUAUUACUAAAAAUUAAAAACCAAAACACGCGUUACUGUUUCUCAUUUCUCUCUUUCGUUUUCUGCAGAACCCUUCCGUCCACCACUGUUCUUCAUCCACAAACCCUCACUGCACGCGAAACCCUUCCGUCCACCACCAUCGGCAACCACCGUCGGCGUCCCUCCGUCGGCUUCUCCUCCGUCACUCGUUUUAUCCACCGCCGGUCUGACUGGAUUGAUAACUUUGGAUCUCUUUGGAGCUCGUAUCAUUGACUCUGGUACUACAUAUUUAGGAGGGUAACUUGUGUAUAGUGAAAGUUUGAUCGUUUCCCAGCCUAGUUCGACGUUUGGCGUUUUCUUGAGUUCGGUAACAUCCGAGGUUCAAUGGCUUCAGAUAGAGAUGCUCCACCUGAAAACCCACCUGAAAACUUACAAGAAAACUCACAAGAAAGAGUUGCUUCGGAUACAAAUGCUCCACCUGAUACUGAAGCAAAAGAGGUUGCACGAGGC